GGCGAUGUUACUGGCAUGUAAGCUUUAUUUUUGGCCCCAAUUUCGAAUUCUACAACCUAAAUUUUGGAUUGUUUCAGUCUUGUCAGCCAUUUUUGAUCGCCACAUUGCUUUAGGAAGAUUGAAGAGUUAUGCCUCUUGAGUCUAGAUUUCUGUUUGCAUGUUCAAUAGCUAAUGGUAGAGAAAUUAGAAAAUGCAAAUCACUCGAGGAGAAUUCGUAGGUACGAAGCUGUUGAACUGCGUG
rnacentral:misc_RNA from 1 species